rnacentral:rRNA from 1 species
GAGGAAUAUUGGGCAAUGCCCGCAAGGGUGACCCAGCAACGCCGCGUGGAGGAUGAAUGUUGUAAGAUUGUAAACUCCUGUUAGAGGGGAAGAAUAGUACCGGUUGGACCGGUAUAUGACUGUACCCUCAGAGAAAGCCCCGGCUAACUACGUGCCAGCAGCCGCGGUAAUACGUAGGGGGCAAGCGUUGUCCGGAUUUACUGGGUGUAAAGGGCGCGCAGGCGGGAUAAAAAGUCAGUGGUGAAAUCCAACAGCUUAACUGUAGAACUGCCUUUGAUACUUUUAUUCUUGAGUUCGGGAGAGAGAGACGGAAUUCCAGGUGUAGUGGUGAAAUACGUAGAUAUCUGGAAGAACACCCGUUGCGAAGGCGGUCUCUUGGUCCGACACUGACGCUGAGGCGCGAAAGCGUGGGGAGCAAACA